rnacentral:rRNA from 1 species
UCUACGGGAGGCAGCAGUGGGGAAUUUUGGACAAUGGGGGCAACCCUGAUCCAGCCAUGCCGCGUGCGGGAAGAAGGCCUUCGGGUUGUAAACCGCUUUCGGCCGGAACGAAAUCGCAUCUGUGAAUAGCGGGUGUGGAUGACGGUACCGGAAGAAGAAGCACCGGCUAACUACGUGCCAGCAGCCGCGGUAAUACGUAGGGUGCGAGCGUUAAUCGGAAUUACUGGGCGUAAAGCGUGCGCAGGCGGCCGCGUAAGCCAGAGGUGAAAUCCCCGGGCUCAACCUGGGAAUGGCCUUUGGGACUGCGUGGCUCGAGUGCGGCAGAGGGGGGUGGAAUUCCUGGUGUAGCAGUGAAAUGCGUAGAUAUCAGGAGGAACACCGAUGGCGAAGGCAGCCCCCUGGGCCAGCACUGACGCUCAGGCACGAAAGCGUGGGGAGCAAACAGGAUUAGAUACCCUGGUAGUCCACGCCCUAAACGAUGACGACUAGUUGUUGGGGGAGCAAUCCCUUAGUAACGUAGCUAACGCGUGAAGUCGUCCGCCUGGGGAGUACGGUCGCAAGAUUAAAACUCAAAGGAAUUG